rnacentral:lncRNA from 13 species
AAUCCUUAGGUGUUUUUUAAAAAGGGGAUUCAGUUCAGGGCCCAGAUUCAUAACCUGUCUCAGUGUAGGAGUGCUGCUCUACGAUCAUUUCUAACAUUGUUGAUCAUAAUGAAUACGAUAUGGGUCUUAGAUAGUGAAUACGAUAUUUUUAAUUUAAAUCCACCUGUUUCAUUUUGGUCUCAUUAUAGUUUCCUGAAGAAAGGAGAGCACAUUUCUAUUUCAAUUUGUGAUCCUACAGGGGUCACCUGGCGGAGGCUGACUCCUACAGGGUGUAGGGGUUAGUGCCCUACGUUUGAUCAGGGUCUACUUAGUUACUUAGUAUUGUAAGGUAAACUCAAACUCAUCUGACCAAUAUGGAAUGAUUGAUUUAUUCCCAUCUGGUCCACCAGGGGGCCAUAACAGCAUGCUUUGAUGAGUUACAGGAUAUAAAGUAUUUUGUAAAACAUUUUAUACCAAAGGCCUUGUGAAUGUCGGCGUUAAUUGGUUUUCACGUGGACAGAGUUAAGGCAAUGGAAUGAGCCACAAUGGAAAGGCGCCAGCUUCCGGAGUAGUAACCACCAUGUUGUGAAUAAAGAUGGUUUCCUGGCUAAAUUGGCCUGGAUGAAAUGUCUCGUUGAGGAUGACGUAUAAUUCUGGGGUGAUGGACAAUCCUCAAAUGUCAAUUGUUAUUCUGUGCUCAUUGUCCACAUGCGGAAUUAUUAUUUUUUUUGUCAUGAGAAAAUUUACAAAAAUAAAAAGGUUGAUUUAACUCACUCAUUGCUUACUUUAUUUCAGCCAUUUGUAAUACAUGUUUGGUAUUUUAUUAGGAUUAGCUGUUGCAAAAGCAGCAGCUACUCUUCCUGGGGUCCACAUGAAACAUGAAACAUGACAUAAUACAGAACAUCAAUAGACAAGAACAGCUCAAGGACAGAACACGUACAUAUCAAUAGAUACACAUUAAACGAUCUAGGUCCAAUAGGGGAGAGGCGUUGUGCCGCGAGGCGUUGCUUUAUGUUUUUUUAAACCAGGUUUGCUGUUCACUUGCGCAAUAGUGUAGCAGCGGAUGUAGAAACAAUGUAACGCUUUUCCACAUCUUAUCUAUCAAACAGAACAAAAUGUCAAUAGAUGCAUCUCUAUGAUACAUUAAAGAGGAUUUACAUUUAUUUAUUUUUUGAUCUAAGAGGAUAUUUUCCUUUGUUAAAAAGAAUGAAAUAUUAUCCGAGAAGCAGAGCAAUCUGUUAUGUAUUAAUUUCCGUGAUGGGGUGGGUCAUAUUUUAAUUUGGUCUUUUUGAGUAGCUAUUGUACUUUCAUGGACCAACGCGCGCAUGCGUAGUGCAAGGGCUCACGUUAGGGGCGGAACACGCAGAACGUUGCAGAUAGCAAUUCAACAUCUAGAACUGCUACAGUUCUCGGCAACAAUGUUCUAAUGAUAAAUGCGAUACAUUUCUAUCUUCAACGUUCUGAACUUUGCGCUCGGUGACCCUCUUGGCUAACUACGUGCAUUUCGUACUACUAAGGCCGACAAAACGGCGCAGGAGCACGAUUUGAAGUUUUGUGCAUUCAUUUAGCUAGUUUUCACAGUCGGAUUCAUUUCCAGGAACACUGUGCUUCAUCUCGCUCGUUUUGUGACUGGGUUGAGUUGUUUCGAUGGUUAUAUCGCUCGACGGUUGAGACUCCGCCGUGUUGUUUUUCAUCAAGCUCAAGAACAAUUGACUGCAUCACCAUUAUUAUUAUUUUUUUGAAUCGUUUUAACUGACUCGAAUGUAUAUCACAACUGUCUCUGACAUCUAUUCCAUCCACGUGUUUGCCACCUCUGCGUUCUUCUCAUAGAGAUGUAUCGAUUGACGUGUUGUUCCAUUUGAUAGGUAAGAUGUUAAAAUGUUUUGCAACAUCCGCUGCUAUUACUACUGUGUUCUGAAAUUGACCGCAGAGUCAUUUAGCCUUUAUUUAUGUUAGUCAAACAAACAAAAUGGACAGAUCCGGAUUCAUGAGUGGUCCCUCUGAAGAACACUUAUAACAAUCUAGCUGUUUGCAUCGUGUGUUCUUACUCACUCGGCAUCUUCCAAAACCACAGGUAUUGGCUGCUGUUUAUCAUAGUUGAAAAGGGAUUGGUUGGUCAGAAUCUUGAGUUGUAGGGGCCUGUUUAGGGUUCUGGUCCCCCUCCCAAAAAACGGUUUACUGUGUAGAGAAUAGGAUGCUAUUUGGGAAACAGUCACAUUUUUGUACAGUAGCCGAGUCACACAGCCUAACGGAUGACACAGUUCAAGGAACUGAAGCUCAGACGUAUCGUUUUCCAUCUCAUUGCGUGAUUUGAAAUAUUGGUGUGAAUCCAAUACUUAGGCUCAGCAUUAUAGUAAGGCAGUGUUUUAAACCCUAGAGAUCUUCUAUGAAUGUAAUUGCGAUGACCACUUGUUCUGAAUCCUACCAGCCUAUUGGGCAUCAUGCUAAGGGGAUUGAUUGCACUCUGUCUGCACCAGGUGUAUGGCACAAAUAUAGUAUAGUGAUUUAACAGGCACUCUUAUCCCGACGCAGAUAUCAGUUGCCGCCUAUAUGUACCCCUCACUAAGGAGAUACAUCAUGCCUUAACCAUAAGGAAUGUGAUGGUGAUGGGAAGUCAUAAUUAUUCGCCCUACUCUCUUUCUCUUCCUCUCUCUCUAUGCCCCUCUCUCUCUCUCUCUCUCUAUGCCCCUCUCUCUCUCUAUGCCCCUCUCUCUCUCUAUGCCCCUCUCUCUCUCUAUGC